UGUUUACAGGAUGCUGAAGAGCGGCUUCAACUAAUUUACACUAUAAACACUUCUCUUGGGCUCCGCUCUAUACUUUUUAUCAUGUUGUUGCUUUAUUGAACUGCUUAUGUGAAUGAUGCUGACGGUUUUCGAAAGAGAAGAACCUGGUCAGCUGAAGCUACAAAGCAGCAUUUAAUUAGUGAUGUUUUAUGGGCUGUCUAGCUUCAUGCAGAACACACAGAGGAUCUACAACUAAGGACAUCAUGGAAGGGAAGAUUACUGAUGUUUCUGCACAGUAUAUGUGCACACAAGUCUGUGGUUAGGUGCCUUGCUCAAGGACACAAUGGACUCCUUGCAGGGACCUUCCAGUUACCAGCACAUUACACCACAUCACCCCUCAACCUACUAAAUGGCACUUUUUAUUCCUGUUUGAGUAAAUUUAUGCAACUUGAUCACAUGGAAAGUCGACAUGCGGUUUCCGAAAGUUCUGGUACCCUAGGAUCGGCAACAGUAUGCCGACUCACUGGCAUGCCCUAUCUCCCAUCGGACAUAUAUGCAACGGCUUCACAACAGUGAUAGUGGAGAGGUGCCUUAAAACUGCUGAACACCCCAUAGAAGGGAAUGAAGAGAAUGACACGAGAGCACAGUGACUGGCGUGCCUUAUUGUGUAUUUUAGUGUUGUACCAUGAAGCUGAAGAGUUUGAGAAUUCUUUGUGUUAACU